UGAUAUUUCAAUAUACAUACAUAUAUUAGUAUUUGUGAUGUGUGAUAACUGUUUGGAAACUUGCAUGCAAUGCAUGGGAUAAACAGAGAUCAGCACUGGACUGGAUGAGAGAAUCUAUUGGGUAAACAUUUAUUAGCUUUUUCGAAAAGAAUUGAAGAUAAUAUUUAGAUUAAGGGGUUGGAAGAUAAUUAAAUGAUCAUUCGACUUGGCAGAGGCAUACGGCUGCUAACUCGAAAUUCAAGUGGAAGCAAAUGAAUGCACUAAUCCAAGCAGCAGAUUUUCGAGCGAACUGAAGACAGAGUUAGGUGACUGUCGAAAUCUCAAACAAUGUUUUUUUCGAUGCAGAAUAAAUGCCCAAAGAAUGAAAUUCUCAAAGGAUUCAGGCGAGGAAAAUGUGUAAAUACAGUACACUCUUGAUAAUUUGACAGUUAUGGAAUUACCAAAAGUGUCUGAAUUUUUCAAUUUAGUUUCCAAAAAUAUGUAUUAAUUAGGUAUGUA